CACAGUCACUUCAUAAAAUGGCGACAAUGAUCCAUAUUCUGCCUCUUCCACAGAGUGAAUGGAAGGAUGAGCUGUCUACAGGCUUUCAAAGUUAGAAGGGACCCCAGAUGCCAUCUCAGCAGAAGCUCUACAGUGAGUGCGCAGAAAGAUCCUUAUUCAAUUUUAACAAAUAUCUCAUUUGAUCUUCACAGCAAUCCUGAGAGUGGCCUAUUGGGAGAGUUUUAUCAUCGUGUAGGCUUGCUGAGGAUCAGAACAGCCAUUGGCCUGUGUCCAAAGACUAUAAUGAGCUGGUUGCUUGCUGGGACUGCAGACCCCCGGCAGGACUGGGCAUGCAUAGCCAAUCUGGGCAGGAGCUAAAGGAGGCCAGGAGACCCAGCGUGGUGAAAGGCAGCCCAAUAGAAGCUGGACCAGGAAGAGCAGAGGCCAGCCCACUCUCACAGGUGGUUAACCACAGGCUGGAGGUUCCCAGGAAACCUAAGGGCUCUCUACAAUGGGCCGCACCCCUUCCCACAGCUAAAGUUUCCAGUACAGAUAUUGAACCAGCCUGCGUGGAAUGCUAAGGAUUGGAGGAAAUGAGAUAAGGUCACUAACCGAACUCUGAGGACUCUGUGAGUAUGGCCAGGGUACCAUGAGAGGGAUGCAGAUGUCUGUUCUGGAAGAGGGAGGACAGGGAAUGGGGAGGGGCUCAAGCUCUGGUUUUUAGUCUCUUCUCAUGGAGGCCUGGCCCUCCACGAAACUUCCCACAGUCUCCUUGCCAAGAGUUCCCCCUGCUCUUCCCAGCUCCUCUCAAAGUGUGGUAGUGAAUUGUAAGCUCCCUGAAGGCAAGAACUGCUUGUACCCCCUGCAUUAAGCACAGCACUUGGCCCAGAGAGCAGUCGCUUCAUAGGUGAUCUUUAGCUUUAUGUGGCUAUUUGGGGAUGGGGUAGGGAGAGCACCUUAGCUGUGUUUAAGUAUCAAACUAUGGUUGGUCUUGUUCUGCAUAUGGUAGGAAGGAAGGUUGAGGCUCAAAGUCAAGAGCUGAGUAUGUCAGCUUAAGAAAUGGUGUCUGGUCACUUCCAGGAGAGAUUGGAUCAUCCCCAACCACCAUCAUAGAUGGGCAUGGGUAUAGAGCUGAAAGAAGAAAAGAAAAAAGAAGGAAGGAAGGAAGGA